rnacentral:rRNA from 1 species
GAGUGAACGCUGGCGGUAGGCCUACCCCAUGCAAGUCGAACGGCAGCACAGUAAGAGCUUGCUCUUACGGGUGGCGAGUGGCGGACGGGUGAGGAAUACAUCGGAAUCUACUUUUUCGUGGGGGAUAACGUAGGGAAACUUACGCUAAUACCGCAUACGACCUACGGGUGAAAGCAGGGGAUCUUCGGACCUUGCGCGAUUGAAUGCGCCGAUGUCGGAUUAGCUAGUUGGCGGGGUAAAGGCCCACCAAGGCGACGAUCCGUAGCUGGUCUGAGAGGAUGAUCAGCCACACUGGAACUGAGACACGGUCCAGACUCCUACGGGAGGCAGCAGUGGGGAAUAUUGGACAAUGGGCGCAAGCCUGAUCCAGCCAUACCGCGUGGGUGAAGAAGGCCUUCGGGUUGUAAAGCCCUUUUGUUGGGAAAGAAAAGCAGCAGGUUAAUACCCCGCGGUUCUGACGGUACCCAAAGAAUAAGCACCGGCUAACUUCGUG